UUUGCUUGAGUCAUCAGUAUCUAAUAACAAUGAUGAUGAGGAUGGUAGCAGUAAGACAGAUAUCACUCAACUGAAUUAGAUGCUAUUAUUACUCCCAUUUCACAGAUGAGGACACAGAAACUCAGAAGUUAAAUCACUGGUGAAGGUCUCAUCGCUCUGAGGUAACAGAGCUGACGUCCGGCCAUACUCUUCACGACCACCUUGCCCAUCCGUCCAUCCCUGCACCCACCGUGCACUCAGGCAGCCCCCUUCCAGGUCUCGAGGUGCAGCUGUGAAUGAGAGGAGGCCCUGCUCUGAAGGGACAGGGGGAGGAAGGAGAGUGGGAGUGAGACGGACACAAAGCAGCUAAACGCGUGAACGUCCUGUACGUCAGAGGCUGAUGAGGGAGGACAAAAGCAGCAGGGACAGGGGACAAAAGGAAGCCUGGAAGUCAUUUCAUGUGGGAAGCUCAGGGAGAGUGACAUUUACACACAGACCUGCAAGAGUGAGGUGUGAGCCACAAGAGGUCUUGCAGGCAGAGAGGAACAGCAAGUGCAAAAGCCUGGGGGAGGAGGGCCGGCUGGAGGAACAGCCAGUGGAGGAAGGAGGGGUUUGGAGACUCUCAGGCAGGUCUGGGGUGGGGCGAGAUCCUACAGGCCUUACAGGCCACUGUCAAGGCAGAGGACUGCCAAGACACAAGGGGCUCCCCUUCCUCUGGACAGAUGUGGCCUGGGACUCCCCACCGUACUGGCCUGGAUUCGACACUACUCCAGGAGAUGAUGAGACCAGCAUGAAAACACAGACCAGUGAUCAGCCCUCUGCCACCUGGGGAAGCCUUCCCAGACCCAGCCUUCUGAUCCACAGUCAUACCUGCUGACCACACCUAACUUGGUGCCUCCAAUGGACAGACUCUGUGUGAAAACACUACCUGCCUAUCUGAAAUCCAAACCUACAGUAUGGAUGAGGAGCCACCAUCACACUAUCACCACCAGUAAACCUACGCACAGAAGUGGCAUUCUAAGGUUCGUGGACAUGCCUGCAAUAAACGGUUUCAACGGCACUUAUGUCACUGUAAAGUCACAGUUGGGAAAAGUUUUCUCUGGGCAGCAACGUGUCUUCAGAAAAGAGGGCUCCACUAAUGAAAGUUGAGAAACCACUGUUUCAUCCGAUGUAUAGUUCUAGAUUAAAGCAGAGUGCACUCUUCAGAAACUUCACGGACAACUAAAGUUUCUGGUAAGAACCUAAAAACUCACAACUCUAAGUUAACAAAGCACCAUUAGGCACAUUUAACCUGCUAUUAAUACUCCCCUGGCACGUGAAGAUAAUGUGCCAAAGCGAAGACAGCUGUGCCACGGUGGUUAAAUCAAAGUUGAUUUAAAAGUAUUGUUUAAUGUUGCAUAUUUUCUUUACAAUAAAAAAUGAAGAAGUGAGAACAGCCAGUCUCUCGAAGACUUCCUAUGGGAGCAAAAACCCAGUCCCUUUAAGACAGGGCCUCCUGCUUCGUCUCUCCUGGUGAAGGCUCAGAAUGGCAGCUGUCCUUGCUCUGAUCAUUCGCCCAGACAGAAAACGCUCGUGACAUAUUUUCUUCUCCUAGGACCAGAGCUUAGAAGCUCUAAGACAGGAAAGAGGAGGUGUCUACUCCUUCGUUUAUGUUUCACUAAGUCGUGAAACAUAUCUGUGUGUUUGCACCUACUGGGUUCCAGGCACUGAGGGUCUAAUCAGACGAAGACACAUUCCUGCCCUCACGGAACCUACCCACCAGCAGACUCACUUUGGUGACAACAUGGUGACUGUGUUACAUUUUGUCACCGAACCAUCAUGUCAACAUGCACUUGGACAAGCGAAUCUCCUCGUUAACUAAGUAUACGCUUGCUCACCUGAGGUUGGCCUUGGGCGGUCUAACAGGGCUGCCACGCUAGGGUUCUAAGUUGGCCACGUUCAAUACUAUCAGCCAACAGCAGGCAUCAUUAAAGAAUCAAGUCCCGCCCCCUCUAAAAAGCUCUUCAUUCCCGAGACUCUGAUCCAUGCUUUUCUGAAUCUUCACCUGGGUGAAGAACCAGAUCUUCCGCAGCAAACACAAUAAUAAAUCAAAUCUUACCAGAAUUGAGCUAUAAAUCUGUGAAGACUCCGAUAAUUUCUAGCUAAGGGAAUAACACCACAAAAGUACUUUUUAAACUAAUUACUCAGAUUCCGAAGUGCUGCCCUAAUGAGCCUUCUUUCUGCCCAGAACUUACUAAGAGGAAAACUACCUUCUGGUGCAGUAAUUACUGCUUUCCCCUUCAAACUUCUAACUGGAGAUCGAUGCUGCAUUUUAAGACCCAUUGAUUUACAAUUAGCCUGGCUUUCCUGCUAAAGUGUUUUUUAAGCAGAGUUUACUUUUAUUUUAUUUUGAAAUCUCCGAGAUCUGGUUCUUGGAUUUUACGGCCUCAUGAGAGGGGACUGGAAAUCUCAAAGAGGAAGAUACACAUCAGAAGAGAGAGGACUAGAGGGAUGCAAAUCGGAUUCAGAGGAGUGUGUAAGGGGGAAUGGGAAGUUGGUGUGUUCACAGGAUAA